rnacentral:rRNA from 1 species
UACGAAGGGGGCUAGCGUUGCUCGGAAUUACUGGGCGUAAAGGGCGCGUAGGCGGGAUGGCAAGUCGGUCGUGAAAUCCUUCGGCUCAACCGAAGAACGUCGAUCGAUACUGCUGUUCUUGAGGGUUGCAGAGGAGACUGGAAUUCCCGGUGUAGCGGUGAAAUGUGUAGAGAUCGGGAGGAACACCGGUGGCGAAGGCGGGUCUCUGGGCAAUUCCUGACGCUGAGGCGCGAAAGCGUGGGGAGCAAACGGG